rnacentral:lncRNA from 1 species
CCUGGUGUAAGUGCUAAUAUUAUGCUCAAAAAACAUAUCUAAAUUUCACCAUACUAAUAAACAGUAAGGUUAUAACUUACAACUAUUUCAGUUUAUAGAACAAUGAAAUUUUUGAUUUAACUACUAGAGUUUUACUUGAUUUUUCUAUAGGUAAUUUAAAUGUUUAUAACUUCCUAGAAAUACUUACUAUUUAAGUAAAUAGAUUCUUAUUAAUGGG